UACGUAGGGUGCGAGCGUUAAUCGGAAUUACUGGGCGUAAAGCGUGCGCAGGCGGUUUUGUAAGCCAGGUGUGAAAUCCCCGGGCUCAACCUGGGAACUGCAUUUGUGACUGCACGGCUGGAGUGCGGCAGAGGGGGAUGGAAUUCCGCGUGUAGCAGUGAAAUGCGUAGAUAUGCGGAGGAACACCGAUGGCGAAGGCAAUCCCCUGGGCCUGCACUGACGCUCAUGCACGAAAGCGUGGGAGCAACAGG
rnacentral:rRNA from 1 species